AAACCACAGAGUUCCUUAUCUUGUCUCUCUGCAUCUGUUUUUACAUGAGCUAGCAGAGCAAAAGAGCAAAGCAGUAACAACCGAAAACUCCUUUUUCCCCUCUCCCCACCCAUAUUUUUGAAGCCACGGGAGAAGUCCCCAGUAGGAUCCAGCUGCCGGCUCUCGUUGGGUUUUUUUGUCUGCAGACCAGAAGCUACCCCAGAUUUCCAUGUGGACAGUCACAGCUGAGGAAGGAUUGAUGGUCUCUGAUGGACAAGGCAGCUGGAGGAGGUGUCUGCAACCCAGGAUAACUGGUAGUAGAAGGGAAGCAGCAUGCACAAGGUCUCACCAGUGGGAAAAAAUGGUGCUUCUCAUCUGCAAGUUGCAAAUUAUUUCACCAUAAAUGAGUCACUUGCUCACUCCCCCCCACUGGGACAGGAGAGAGACUCAGAGAAGUUAGAAGACUUACGGGUUGAUAACAAGACAGUUUAACAGGUAAAGCAAAAGCCGUGCACAGAAGCAAAGCACAACAGGGAAUCCAUUCAUCACUUCCCAUGGGCAGGCAGGUGCUCAGCCAUCCCUUCAAAGGAAGGGCUCCAUCACACGUAAUGGUGACUUGGGAAGAUGGACUCCAUAAUUCCGAACAUGCCUUCCUUCUCCUUCCCCCAGCUUUAUGUGCUGAGUA